AUUGAAAGUAAACUUGAAAAUGCAAGAAAGAAAAUGAUAGUGCAAGUUCUAAAAGAUGCUAAAAGCUGGACUGGAGAUUAAGAACCCUGGAAGAGGCCUCAGACUGACGAGAAAGAACCAGGAAAAGAAACUGUAUGUCACUCGCCUAUAACAAUUUAUUCUACUAUACCAGACCUGUUUUCCUUACCAACACCUUUCACCUCAUUU
rnacentral:lncRNA from 1 species